GGUCAUAAACCUUAACGACAUUGACACAGGCACUCGUCUCAGAAAAUAAUAAUCCUCUAUACCUUUAUAUAAAAAAGGUAUACUAGUAUAGGAUUAUUUUUGUCUGAGACGAGUGCCUGUGGACAUUGGCUACAAAUGAUGAUCUUGCACUGUCGGAUUUUUAUUUUUAACGACAUUGACUACCCAUGAGGGUCUCGCACGGUCUGAUUUUCUUUGUGACGUGUUUACUUUUAACGAAAUUGACUACCCAUGAAGGUCUUGUACGGUCUGAGUUUCUUUGUUACGAGUUUAUUUUUAACGACAAUGACUACCCAUGAAGGUCUUGCACGGUCGGAUUUUCUUUGUGACGAGUUUAUUUUUAACGACAUUGAAUACCCAUGAGGGUCUUGCACGGUCGGAUUUUCUUUGAGACGAGUUAAUUUGUAACGACAUUGACUACCCAUGAAAGUCUUGCACGAUCGGAUUUUUUUUUGUGACGAGUUUAUUUUUAACGACAUUGACUACCCAUGAAGGUCUUGCACGGUCGGAUUUUCUUUCUGACGAGUUUAAUAUGUUUAACGACAUUGACUACCAAUGAGGGUCGUGCACGGUCGGAUUUUCUUUGUGACGAGUUUAUUUUUAACGACAUUGACUACCCAUGAGGGUCUUGCACGGUCGGAUUUUCUUUCUGACGAGUUUAUUUUUUACGACGACACCAUUGAGAGGUCUUGUACGUCGAUUUUCUUUGUGACGAGUUUACUUUUAAGAAAUUGAAUACCCAUGAAGGUCUUGCACGGUCGGAUUUUCUUUGUGACGAGUUUAUUUUUAACGAUAUUGACUACCCAUGAAGGUCUUGCACAGUCAGAUUUUCUUUGUGACGAGUUUAUUUUAAACGACAUUGACUACCUAUGAAGGUCUUGCACGGUCGGAUUUUCUUUGUGACGAGUUUUCAUUGACACAUGAGGGUCUUGAGGUCGGAUUUUCUUUGUGACGAGUUUAUUUUUAACGACAUUGACUACCCAUGAGGGUCUUGCACGGUCGGAUUUUCUUUGUGACGAGUUUAUUUUUAACGACAUUGACUACCCAUGAGGGUCUUGCACGGUCGGAUUUUCUUGUGACGAUUUAUUUUUAAACAUUGACUACCAUG
rnacentral:lncRNA from 1 species